rnacentral:misc_RNA from 1 species
GAUGAAGAACGUAGCGAAAUGCGAUACUUGGUGUGAAUUGCAGAAUCCCGUGAACCAUCGAGUCUUUGAACGCAAGUUGCGCCCGAAGCCAUCAGGUUGAGGGCACGUCUGCCUGGGCGUCACAUAUCGUUGCUCGAUGCCUAUCGCAUUGCGAUAGGACUUAGGGCGAAUGAUGGCUUCCCGUGAGCGUUGUUGCCUCGCGGUUGGUUGAAAAUCGAGUCCUUGGUAGGGUGUGCCAUGAUAGAUGGUGGUCGAGUGAUGAUGCUCGAGACCAAUCAUGGGUAACUCCACCAGAAUUGGGCUCGGUGACCCACAUGCGUCCCUUGGAUGCUCCCUAAGGAGACCUCAGGUCAGGCGGGGCUACCCGCUGAGUUUAAGCAUAUCAAUAAGCGGAGGA